rnacentral:lncRNA from 1 species
UGCGAUUGGGGAAUUAUUACAUGCUUACAUAGAAUCCAUCUGACAAAGUCUGGCAGAUAUAUCAAACUUCUUUUGCGUACAAAAAUCAUUCGUACAAUCUAAUUAAAUAACUUUCAGCUUUCAAUAUGAUUCACAUAUUUCUACCAAAUUCGAGCUGAACCAUGAAUACUCUCCGGCGUCUAUAUCUCCACAUCAUUCUCUAUCUUUUUAUUUGUUCCGGUAAUUUUAUAUUUUUCAUUUUUACUAUAAAAGAAAACUGUAAGUAGUAGUACCUUAUCAUAGAUAACAUAUCUCUAUUGGUGGACGCAAUACUAAAAUUUUCUUUUAAGAAUGCAAAAUUUGAAGUUCGCUCAGUGCGCAUUAUAUAUUAGAUCCAUAGAAGAAUGGUGAGUAAUAUCAAAAAAGGUUUACGAUUAUAACUACCCAAAAACGCAUGAUUUGAUUAGAACACUCGGGAAGAAGAAUCAAAGAAAGUGGAUGCGGGUCAAAAGUGCAGGUGCGUUUUUGGGUAGUAAAGAGAAAUGGGAAAAGAGGGCAACAGAUCCAAAUGGUCAUCUAAUCAGUAAUCACCCUCUAGCAACUUCAUUUCCACACAAACUUUUGGGCCUACACCUUUCUUUGUCUUUUUUUUUUCUUCCUUUCUUUUGGUUGUAAAUGGCAUUUUAGCAAUUUUGUAGUUUCAUAUCUUUAUACAAACAUUUGGAGAGGAGGAAAAGGUCAAACAAUAUUUACAUAAUCACAAGGUAAUUGAUUGUUGGAUUAUAUGCACUCUAAAGCACUAUCCUAUCAUUGGGUUUUGGUUCAUUCAACAUAUCUUUGGAUUAUCAGAAAACUUCAAUCCGUAAUCUUUCUAAACCCACGUCAUUUAAUAUUAG